CGUGUAGGCGGUCAGGUAAGUGGAAUGUGAAAUGCCCCGGCUCACCCGGGGACCGGCAUCCCAAACUGCCUGGCUUGAGUAUGGGAGAGGAUGGGGGGAAUUCCUGGUGUAGCGGUGAAAUGCGUAGAUAUCAGGAGGAACACCGGUGGCGAAGGCGUCCAUCUGGCCCAAUACUGACGCUGAGGCGCGAAAGCUAGGGGAGCAAACG
rnacentral:rRNA from 1 species